GUCCGGAUGGCGCAGGGGUUAACGCAACUGCCUUAGUAAGCAGGAGGUCCCGGGUUCGAGUCCCGGUCCGGCAUACA